AUUGAACGCUGGCGGCAUGCCUUACACAUGCAAGUCGAACGGCAGCACGGGAGCAAUCCUGGUGGCGAGUGGCGAACGGGUGAGUAAUAUAUCGGAACGUGCCCAGUCGUGGGGGAUAACGUAGCGAAAGCUACGCUAAUACCGCAUACGAUCUAUGGAUGAAAGCGGGGGAUCGCAAGACCUCGCGCGAUUGGAGCGGCCGAUAUCAGAUUAGGUAGUUGGUGAGGUAAAGGCUCACCAAGCCGACGAUCUGUAGCUGGUCUGAGAGGACGACCAGCCACACUGGGACUGAGACACGGUCCAGACUCUUACGGGAGGCAGCAGUGGGGAAUUUUUGGACAAUGGACGCAAGUCUGAUCCAGCCAUUCCGCGUGCAGGAUGAAGGCCCUCGGGUUGUAAACUGCUUUUGUACGGAACGAACGGUGAGCUCUAAUACAGUUUGCUAAUGACGGUACCGUAAGAAUAAGACACCGGACUAACUACGU
rnacentral:rRNA from 1 species